rnacentral:rRNA from 1 species
ACAGGACGUCAUAGAGGGUGAGAAUCCCGUGUGGCGAGGAUCCCAGUUAUUUGUAAAGUGCUUUCGACGAGUCGAGUUGUUUGGGAAUGCAGCUCUAAGUGGGUGGUAAAUUCCAUCUAAAGCUAAAUAUUGGCGAGAGACCGAUAGCGAACAAGUACAGUGAUGGAAAGAUGAAAAGAACUUUGAAAAGAGAGUGAAAAAGUACGUGAAAUUGUUGAAAGGGAAGGGCAUUUGAUCAGACAUGGCGUUUGCUUCGGCUUUCGCUGGGCCAGCAUCAGUUUUAGCGGUUGGAUAAAUCCUCGGGAAUGUGGCUCUGCUUCGGUAGAGUGUUAUAGCCCGUGGGAAUACAGCCAGCUGGGACUGAGGAUUGCGACUUUUGUCAAGGAUGCUGGCGUAAUGGUUAAAUGCCGCCCGUCUUGAAACACGGACCAAGGAGUCUAACGUCUAUGCGAGUGUUUGGGUGUAAAACCCGUACGCGUAAUGAAAGUGAACGUAGGUGAGGGCCCGCAAGGGUGCAUCAUCGACCGAUCCUGAUGUCUUCGGAUGGAUUUGAGUAAGAGCAUAGCUGUUGGGACCCGAAAGAUGGUGAACUAUGCCUGAAUAGGGUGAAGCCAGAGGAAACUCUGGUGGAGGCUCGUAGCGGUUCUGACGUGCAAAUCG